GAAAGUACUACCUUCCACAAAGGAGGAAGAGGUGCCAAAACCUGGGCUUUCCUCUGUGGUUGGAGCCCAUGACAAAUUCCAGCCUGAGACUUGGAGGCAGGUUCACAACGAGGAAGAGGUAGAGGGUCUUAAUGCACGUAAACCUCAUGCCACUUGGCCACCUGCAGUCAGUGACUCAUCCGUGCUCAGCCACCCAGACCUCUGGGAGCACCUGUUCUAGGAAAGAAUUUGUGGCCCAACUUACUCCUACGUGCAUUGAUUCAAUGCCAAAGGAAAGGAUCAAGGUCUGACAUCUUUGUACUCUCAGUUGAGGGUCUGUGGAUGGCAUCUAUAAAAUGCCUACUACAACUGCAAUGAGAAGGAGCUGGGGCUGAAACCCCAGGGUUUGCAACAGUCAUGCUGGUGUUGGGUGUAAACCAGGCAGCCACACGCAAACCGGGCCUGCUCUCGCUGUGGUUUCCCGUGCUCGUCUACUGGUGUCCUAACCUGCCUCCACUUGGGGCUGGGCUCUCAGGUGCCACGCUCGGCCCAGGCACAACUGGGGACCUGGGCAAGUGGAGCUGAAUGAGAAAGGCAGGCAUCCUGGUGCAGUGGGAAGAACACUGGAUUCAAAAGUAGGCCACGAGUUUACUAGCUGUAUGGCAUGCAAUAGGUGAAUGACCUCUCUGGGGUUCAGCUCCUCAUAUGCAAAGUGGGCACCAGGACUUUGCAGAGAAAAUUCAAUGAGAUAUUUCUAGGCUGGUGCCUGGCUCAUCCAAGAACGGAUGUUUCCUAAAAGGAGAUUAAUUGAUUCAUCUGGUUUGCUGUAAAAGGUUUCCCAGGCCCAUCAGCUCCAAUGAACAGCUUACAGCAAGCAAAGAAGCACACUGUCUAGUGACUAAAUAAUGAACCAAUAACGGGCAGGAAAAAAAGUAAAGCCAGCACUUGGCUAAGGAAAAAAAACAGACAUGAUGACAUCUAUUUACCUUUUUAGACAAGCAUUCCCCACUUCCCAAAUCAGCCCUGAAGCCUUUUAUUUGUUAAUGGCUCAACUCCAAAGCAUGUGCCCUGGGAAAUCACAAUGCACCUAAUCAUUUUAGCAAUAAUCCCUGAAAAAUUGGCCGUUACUGGAAGUGACCAACAAUUUGGUUGUAACGGCCUGAAGCAAGAUUAUUAACAGCAAAUGUGAAGAUGAUUAUUUUAGCAAAUUGCCACUGAUUGGUAAAUUCAGAACACAAAGACCUCAUGCCUGGCUGGAGUCUCCGGGAAAUCAUUUCAUGCCCAUAAUAAGUGUCUGCUGCUUGAGAUAUAAAAUGCCAUUUGAGUCAGUUCUCUCACUGUUUGGGGCAGGGAAGGUGCCCAGUUAUAGGCAGGGACGGAUAGGAUUUGUGGGUGGGGUGAAGCAAAGGAUGCUAAGAAAGUUACCACCUCCACGCACUGAUUUUGGAAGCCUAUUUUUCCUAAUUGCUGAGCCAAAGAGAAGUUCAAUGCAUCAUAAGGCUCAAUGUAUGUAUAACAUGGUAGCCACUUCCAGUGAAAUUAUUAUAUCCAUAAAUUAGUGAGAUAUUUUCGGUUUGCAAGAAGAUAGAAAGCCCAAGCCAAACUUGUUUAAACAAAAAUGGAACAUUUGGGCUCAUUUAAAUGAAAAUUCCUGGAAUGUGUCCAGCUUCAGGCCUGGCUUAACCAAGGGGACCACACGGUGGCUCCCAGAUUCGGUACUUCUGCAUCAGUUUCCUUCCUUUCCUUCCUUUGUGUCAGCCACACAGAGGGGAAGGUGGGGCAGCAGGGCCAGGCUUGCUCCUCUACAGAUUAACAUCUCUUUCCCGGGCGACCCAGCAACGGCCCCGCUGUCUGUCUGUAAUGUGGAUCCUGUCCUCGUCACCAAACCAGUCACAGUGACUGGAGAAUGUCACGAGCUAAUUGGCCAGAACCACAGGCCCGAGCCAUUCCUGGAACUAAAGAUGUGCGCUGAGGACAGGGGAGAGGUCAGAUCCUCUGAGAGACACUGAGGUGCUCUAACCAAGAGAAAGGGGCCAGAAGGAGGACAGAUGUUCCCCACGUUCUCCAACCCAGGACAGAGCACUGAUUUAUAGUAAUUAGCAUCCAGUGACUCCCCCACUCCAAACAAACACAAAUGGAUGAGGCGCUCCUGGCCAAAGCUGAUGCAAUGUGCUUUAUUUAUUUAAUUGGAUUUAAUCUUCAUUCUGUUUAGUGAAUACUGGAAGGAAACAAUUAAGCAAAAGGGUGGAACCAUCUAUCAGACUGAAAGAAGAAGCAAGCUCCUCAGAGCUGAAGCAGAUUCUAGAGGAGAGGUGAAGGGCAAAGGGAGCGUGCGAAGGAGGAGAAUCACGUGUGUUGCCCUGGUCACUGAGAACUUUCAGCCUCACGGUGCAGCCUCUCCAUCAUCUGUUGAAACUCAGACUUCUGCAUCUGCAUAGAUUCCCUGCCUUCUUAACUUUGCACAAGUCUUCCCUCUGCCUAGGAUUCCUUCGUCUACUUUCCUAGGUGCAAAACUUCACCUGAUACUUCAAGACUCUGACUUCUCCUCCUGCAGCGACCUUCCAAGUCUUUUAGGCUUCCAGAACCACAGUACCCUCUGCAUAUCAUCGGAAAAGAGAAGUUAACAGACAAUUUUGGUCCCCUCCCUCACGUCUGCCGUUAAGAGAAACAGGGAUUUGCGGGGUGGCACUGGUGAGUGAAUAAAAAGCACUGACUGAGGGCACCCAUAGGAUAGGCUCUGGGGCCUGGGGAGGGGGCUGAGAUCUCUGUGAGUUCAUGUUGCAGGGGGCGUUUCUGGAAGAAGAUGGAAUUGGGUGGAGGACUUGAGAGAUGCCCAGGAUGUAGACAGACUGAUGAUAGAAGGGGGAGUGACCUGAGAGCCAGAGGUGGGAGCUGACAGAUGUGUGCAGGUAGCACUUCCAAAGGCGGUGAGGGGUGCAGUGGGAAAGUAAUGGGGAAGAUGGGACACAGCCAGCCAACGGAUGAACAUUCAAGCUUUGUCCCUAUAGGCAAUGGGCAGCUGCCGAAGUUAGCAAGUGACCUGGAAAAUGGGAUUUUAGGCCAUUCGCCUGGCUAGGUUGUGCCAGGGUGACAGCACGAAGACAGAUGAGUUCAGGUACCAUUGUAGUGAACCACGGGUAAGCUGUGAAAGUCACCCUCUAUAGUAGAAGCACCUGGGCAUUAAGUCUUCAGAGUGGCUACUGUCAAUUAGGGACAUUCCGUCUGCCGGGCACAAUUCUAUGCUCUUUUCAUGUAAUAACUCAGUUAAUCCUGAAACAGCCUUGUAAGUACGAUGAUCAUUCCCAGUUUUUCUACUGAUGUGGAAACUCAAGUCCUGAGUGGUGAAGCCCCUUGUUCAAGGUCACCCAGUUACUAUGUGGCAGACUCGGGAUUCAAAAGCAGACAGUCUGGCCUUUUGCCUUCACCACAACACUAGCCAGAAGACCCGGAUUCAAACCCCAGAGCUUCAUCAAACCAUUUUUGUGAGUUUGGAUCUCAGUCUCCUUAUCUGUCCAAUGGGGACAAUGGAACCCGCCUCAUGCCUGAGGCAUCUAAGCAACAGAAAUGCUGAGCUCAGAGCUAGGGCUCUAUGAAGGCUCUGAUCAGUGCUGAUUCCCCUUCUGUUUCAGUUGGUCACAUCAUCUUGUAAUUAAAAUGUAUCAUUAAGAAAGCAGAGCUCACCUCGCAACCCCUGCGCCCACAAAGUGGGUGGGGAGGAGGGGGUCAUGCUGGGGCCCAGCGGUCUUCUCUGUGCUUCCUGUUCACCCUGCAGCCCCCAACUCCAAACCCAGCCACUUCCCAGAUAGGACUGAUUUCUCCCUGAACUCAGUUCAUUUAAGGUCUCCGCCCCAUGGAAGGAACACAGGAAUCUGUGGCAGUGAACUCAGCAACAUUUGUUACCCAGCCCAAGAAUAAACAGAGAAAGCAAGCUCUCCACAUCUUCAGAAGUGCAUUUACUAUACUCGAAACAGAUGAAUUCUCUCUGUUUGCAUUAAUCGCAUGACUAUUUGGUCCAAUUAUUCUUCCCACUUCAGCAAUCAUGGUGUGCUUGUUCAAGAAGAAAGAAAUAACAACAGCUUAUCUUGUUGAGAGCAAAGAACAAACAGUGAAAAAUCAGGGUCCGCUCCUAAAUGCUACACUUGCUGUCAUUGUGCUAAAGAGAUGAUUCAUGGUCUCAUAGUAACUCGGGUAAAAAAAAAAAAAAGGAGGGUUCUGAAAAGAUUUCAGUUGCAAUGGUUAAAAACCUUUUCAAAAUCAGUCCCAAGGGAGAGAAAACUCUCUAUUUUUAUCACCCAGCUCAACUCUGCUGGCCCUCACCCCAGCACCACAACUUCUCACAUUGACCAAUUUACAUAGACUUAAAUAAUUCUUUCAAAGAACACAUUUCAUUAGAAUAGGGUAAUGGACAAAGUACUAAAUGCUAUUUAACUCCCUUUCUAAAGAACCCUUAAGGAUGGCUAAUGUUUUCAAGGAACAGACAGGUUAGUGCUGAAAGAACCAUAGAAAAGAAACUACCAGGCAGCUUAGAGGGGAAGGUGAACAAUGGUGGAAAUGCUGCCCUUCCCAUGUCACCAGGCAAUAAGAGACGCCUGUUCCAUGGGAUGGCGUCACCCCGGUCCUCUGCCUUUUCCCUCUAUGAACUUUCUCACAAUAAGAUUCAGCAACUAAUAAGAACCUAAGGGAAAAUACUAUUUUUUUUUGUUUGUAGACUUGGUCUUGAAUCAACAUGUACUCCAUUUCCUGACCUGUUACUGGAAUCCUUAGCCUUGACUUCCUGCAUCACCUCUUGGUGAACCCCUGGAUAGACAAUGGGUAUUUGUUUUGGUACCAACUCUUGAUCCUCUCCUCAGCUGCGUCUACUACCAUCAUCUUAAGUAACGUAAAGCUUGGUCCAGUCUGGUUGCUAAGACGGUACCCUGGUAUCAGCCAGCAGAGUUUGGCUGUGGCACCAUAAACAGGAAACUAAGUUGAGGGCUUCAGUCUCAAGGGAUCACCCUUGUCUGAUGGGACCAUGGCUGGGGAACAAUGGCACCGACACAUCUGUAUCAGGGCAGGAGGGUCUCAUCUCUCGCCCUCUUCCAAUCAGUCAACCCCAGUGGGUGUGGAAUAGCCUUGGCCAGAUGUUUCAUUUGUCAGCAAUAACAGAGUGAGAAAUUUGGGCUCCCAAUGCAUUUGAACCCAGAGAAAAUAAGAGGAAGCAGGAGACAGCUGAUAAGCUGUUUGGGCAAGUCUAGAAGAAUCACUAGGCAUCUGUAAAGAGAACUGUUUUAUCAUGAGAUAAAUGAGACUUUCUUGCAAGUUCAGAACUUUAAUAGACAAAACUAUUUUUUAUGGCAAUGUAGCACUUUACAGAUGCAAGAGGUCUCUGUUCAGCAAACACUUCAGUUCAACAAAAUAAUACACAUUUGGGGGGGACUUCCCUGGCAGUCCAGUGGUUAGGACUCUGCGUUUCCACUACAGGGG